GUUUAUACUUUUGCAGUGUACUUCCUUGGGUACAUUUGAUUUCAUCCUAUGGCACCGUGAGUGGACAAAAAGUGGAACUGUCAAAGACCAACUUCUCAAGACCAUACCAGCAAGUGUUUAUAUUUAAUUUUAGCACAGAUAAGGCUUUAAACUUAAAUUUUUAAAGUACAAUAAUUUCUCAAACUGAAAUAUUUCUUACAGCUGUGAGAAAAAAUAUUCCUUCCAAGGAUUGUGGCUCAUUCCUCUCCUGAGACAGGGAAUCACUUCAUUCUUUGGAAAUGUCUUCAGAUCCUCUGGUGGUCUUCAAGAUUGGACUGUAACAUAUCCUCCACAAUGGAAGCAGCAAGUCUCCGCUGUAGAAAAUGAAGUCCAAAAGUAUAGUGUCACUGCAGAGCCUUUGACGCUUAAUCAAUGCAGGACUCUUCAUGUACAUCAUGCCAGCCAAAUGAUCAGUAACAUUGAUCCUGAGGACUUUCCACGUACUUUACAAGAAACUACAGCAAUGAAAGACAAGGAAAAAAUAUUCAAGAAACUGAUCUAAAGAACAAAGAAUCCAGCAUCCAUUGCCUGGCCUGGAAGGUCAGGGCAUGCUUGUUUCAGCGAGAAACAGGGAAAACGUUCCUUUUCCACGAACUUAUAAGAAAAUACCAGUGGGUUCAAUGCACAACCUGUAAAAACAGGCUACAUUUUCAGUGUGCUGGUCUGCCAGAAGACUGGAAUGAAAAGGACUUCUUUUGUAGAUGCAGUUUAAACCCUGAUAUCGACAACAUUCUGCAGUCCGUCAAAGCAGAAGAUAUUCUUACUGAUUCUGAGAUUAAGACAAAGGUUCUCAUCACACGGCUUGAAAACAUUCUGUAUGUCCCUGGCAGUGGAGUUGUUGACCAACACAUGGUCACAGAGGUGAUUCUGCCUGAGGUUGUCAGCCAGUGGCUGCAAAAUAACAACCUUUGCCGCUACCAAGCCAAGAUGAUGCUCAUAAAUACCGUGAAGGAAAAUGAGGGACUUUCGGAAGCCCAGGAAGAAGAAGCCACAGAAAAGGGAAGCCCGUUCAUUGUCGAUAGUCAGGCUGCAGCUGACUGGUGCAGAGAACAACAAUUUAGUGGAAGAAUAACACUUCCUGUUGUUCUGGAUAUGGACGAGCUAGAACAAGCAGAAGCUCUCGAAGCCCUCAAGACAUGGGAUGAAGACUAUAAUGAAUAUUCUCCAGCAGAGCAUUUUACUUUUGUUUUUGAAAAGAAGGAGGACUAUAGAAGUUCUGUUUGUACAUUGUAGAUGUAAAAAAACUAAAAGUUUUUGCAAGAUUUGAAGAACUUUGGUAAAUAAAGACUUUUACAAGUAACCAUAUAUCUUCAUUGCUGCAGCCUAUCUGGAUUUUAGAUAGAUUUAAGGAGAGACACAUACUAAUCAGCAUAGAAUUUGGGUACAACU